rnacentral:rRNA from 1 species
UACGGAGGGAGCGAGCGUUGUUCGGAAUUACUGGGCGUAAAGCGUGCGCAGGCGGUUUUGUAAGUCCGAUGUGAAAUCCCCGGGCUUAACCUGGGAAUGGCAUUUGGGACUGCAAGGCUGGAGUUUGGCAGAGGAGACUGGAGUUCCUGGUGUAGCAGUGAAAUGCGUAGAUAUCAGGAGGAAUACCGAUGGCGAAGGCAGGUCUCUGGGCUAUAACUGACGCUCAUGCACGAAAGCGUGGGGAGCAAACAGG